UCCUACGGGAGGCAGCAGUAGGGAAUCUUCCACAAUGGACGCAAGUCUGAUGGAGCAACGCCGCGUGAGUGAAGAAGGUUUUCGGAUCGUAAAGCUCUGUUGUUGGUGAAGAAGGAUAGAGGUAGUAACUGGCCUUUAUUUGACGGUAAUCAACCAGAAAGUCACGGCUAACUACGUGCCAGCAGCCGCGGUAAUACGUA
rnacentral:rRNA from 1 species